GCAAGUCGAGCGGUAACAGGGGAGCUUGCUCCUGCUGACGAGCGGCGGACGGGUGAGUAACGCGUAGGAAUCUGCCUAGUAGAGGGGGACAACAUGUGGAAACGCAUGCUAAUACCGCAUACGCCCUGAGGGGGAAAGGAGGGGAUCACUUGUGACCUUCCGCUAUUAGAUGAGCCUGCGUGAGAUUAGCUAGUUGGUGAGGUAAGAGCUCACCAAGGCGACGAUCUUUAGCUGGUCUGAGAGGAUGAUC
rnacentral:rRNA from 1 species